rnacentral:rRNA from 1 species
CCUACGGGAGGCAGCAGUGGGGAAUAUUGGGCAAUGGGCGCAAGCCUGACCCAGCAACGCCGCGUGAAGGAAGAAGGCUUUCGGGUUGUAAACUUCUUUUCUCAGGGACGAAGCAAGUGACGGUACCUGAGGAAUAAGCCACGGCUAACUACGUGCCAGCCGCCGCGGUACUACGUAGGUGGCAAGCGUUAUCCGGAUUUACUGGGUGUAAAGGGCGUGUAGGCGGGGACGCAAGUCAGAUGUGAAAACCACGGGCUCAACCUGUGGCCUGCAUUUGAAACUGUGUUUCUUGAGGACUGGAGAGGCAGACGGAAUUCCUAGUGUAGCGGUGAAAUGCGUAGAUAUUAGGAGGAACACCAGUGGCGAAGGCGGUCUGCUGGACAGCAACUGACGCUGAGGCGCGAAAGCGUGGGGAGCAAACAGGAUUAGAUACCCUAGUAGUC